UCGAGAUAACUGCAGAGCUGAUAACUACUUGACUGAGUCGUCAUCUCGCCUUCUGCGUUUGUUCUACUGUCGUGACCUUCAGUAUGGAUACAUGCACUUGUCGGAGCCCAUGAAACGAUACGAAACCACGUUGGAUUCCCAUGGCAGUAACCUGAAAGACAGACCAAAAAAAAAAAAA